UCCUGGAAAGCCCAUUGGCCCCAAUCCGCCCGCACGCCCGCACCCCUCCCUCCUCCCUCGCUCGUCUCAGCCGCCACCCCACGAACCCUAGCCGCCACCCCCACGAACCCUUAGCCGCUCCCUUCCUUCAUCCGUCCUCCUCCCUCUCCCUGGUACGAGCCCCUCCCUGGCCGCCGCGAGCUCCUCCUCCUCCGUUCUCACAUGCUCCAACCCGAGCACGCUGGCGGAGACACGCACCGCGAGGCCCCGGAGCAGUUCAGCCAGUACAGAGCCCCUCCGUACAAGAGGAAACCCGUGGCCAAUCCAGCCAACAAUGACGACGCGUAGGAGAGCUCGACCUUGAUGAGGAAAGCAGCGGAGUUGGUGCAGCGGCGAAGGUCAGGGUCGGCCGUGGAGGGAGGCUUGAUGGCCGAAGCAGCAGGAGCAAGAAGGUUGAGGUGGUUCAGAAACUGAAUGCAUAUAAGAAUCGAGGACCUUCACAGUGGAUUCAUGAUGAUGAUCAUCUACCGAGGCAUCAAGAUGAGCACAUCAUCUUGGACAAGCAGAUGCUAAUUUCUUCUUGCAUCCCGAGUACAUAUGUGAGGCUAUGGGAGUACUUUUUCAUGUGAUGAUGGGAGGAAUGAAUUGUACCAUGUGAACACAAUCGCUGGUAGUUUUGAAGGGAUAAGCUGGUCAAUGCAGGAAAAUCUGAAAGAAAGCGACUAAAAUCAACAUUUGAAGUUCAUCGAAAAAUGAAGAGGAUCGUGCCUUUCUGUUGGAAUUGCUUUUCUGGUUUAAGCAAUCAUUCAGGUUAUUGAAACACUCUCAUGCCUCUUUUCUUCGGUCAUUACUAAUGAUGAGUGUCGUGUGUCUAAUACGGUUUCAUGAGAGUAAUUAAGUAGUGAGAGCUUUCAGAUUAGGGAUUACGAAUAUGAAGUAGAUGUGCCUUAUAUAUAGACGCCUAACAAUUAAAAAACUAAUAAUUAUCUCUAAUCAUCCUUACAUGCAUAGAUGCAUGCGAGCUAUCUCUGUUUUCAGACCCUCUCUCUGUUACACAUUUCCAUGAAAAAACAAAAGUAAAAGGGAAAACUCACUUUGGGUUCAUAUGGUGCAGACCAACAAGCGAUUGUUAAUGAAAGGUUUGAUUGCAGGUAUACUGAAAUCAAGGUCUUUUAUCUAAUUGGUUGGAUAACUACUUUUCAGGUCUAUGCCUUUAACUAAAAUUAAGCAUUUAACUAUUGUUCUGUUGUGUUAUUGAUUUCACCGCUUUUAUGUCAGCCGAUUAGUUCUGAAGGAUUCCACAACGGCUAAUUUAGAUUAUGCAACUUUCGACCAAAAAUAAUUAUUGACAUGUAUAUUUAUCAAGAUCUUUUAUCUAAUUCGUUGGAUAACUACUUUUCAGCUUCAACAUUUGGCUCAUUCUUUUGGUAAUGUUUUCUUGAUAGUGGAGCAGUCAUGGACCUGUUAUAGAGACCUUGGUGAAAAACUUGUCACUGCAAUUUAGUCAAAUGGGUGUUGAGAUUGAAGUUUCUACUUUCGUUGACUUUCUGAUAAAUUACAAAAACAUCGACAAGGUUAUGUGGGAGCCUUUUAUAGUCCUCAUGUUUUCAGUUAAAUAUACUUCGAAAAUGUUUUGAUCAUGCACUGGAUGUAUCUCCCAGUACUGUGGUGUCGCUAAAUUCAAGCAAGCAGCUUAAUGUUAACAUAUCAGAGCCCUUCAUCGAGCUACAUGAUCUUAACAAAUCAGUUUUCCUGUAUUGAACUGAUUUUCCACUUGCAUUGUGUCUUAGAGAAGGAAGUUUUGUAUGGCAGUCAGACUCUCUUCUCCGAUUCAGAUUCAUAGUUAAAUACCCCAACUACUUUUUUUCAGCCCUUGACAUUUUCUUCUACUUGCUAAUGCAGGAUGGAAAACUGCCUGUUACAUGUAGUCUUCAGAACCUGUGCUGAAAUGACGCUUCUUUGGUUGGAAAGUGUCCAAUUUUGCAAAACUUUUGGCUGUCUCGAAUAGUUUUCAAGUUGUUUCAGUGACAUCAGUUCUGCUAAGAGGUUUUAAAUGUCUAAAUACCUGUUACCAUCAGUGACCAAACUUGUGGCGGUGUGCAAUGUUCACCUAACUUAAAACAGCUUGCGCCCUGUCUUUUAAUUUACCAUCCAUCCGUCAAGCGAGCUCAAGCAUAAAUUCUGAACAUUCAGACAAUCAACCAAGAUGCAGGUGCAUUAGAGAAUGGAAAAGGCAAAGCUCCCAAAGAGUAAUUGAUAUUUCCUCCACUGCUGAUGACGAAAACAACUGAAAAAGGCCAGAAGUAUCAACCUAUACUUGCCUACAUUUACCAACUCUUCUCCCUGUACAAAAAUAAAUAAAUAGAUGUACACACGGGCGUUUAAGUUGACAUACAUGCCUGCCCAUGAACAAGUCUAUUGAUACGUGUUUUUUUUCAAAGCAUGAGUGUUAGUGGGUCUU